GUACCAUUUCCUCCGUCCGAAAAAGCUUGUCCCCCAAAUGGAUGUAUCUAGCACUAGUGCUAGAUACAUCCAUUUGAAGGACAAGCUUGGGACAAGCUUUUUUGGACGGAUGGAGUACUUA
rnacentral:pre_miRNA from 1 species